rnacentral:rRNA from 1 species
UACGUAGGUGGCAAGCGUUGUCCGGAAUUAUUGGGCGUAAAGCGCGCGCAGGCGGUCCUUUAAGUCUGAUGUGAAAGCCCACGGCUCAACCGUGGAGGGUCAUUGGAAACUGGGGGACUUGAGUACAGAAGAGAAGAGUGGAAUUCCACGUGUAGCGGUGAAAUGCGUAGAGAUGUGGAGGAACACCAGUGGCGAAGGCGACUCUUGGUCUGUAACUGACGCUGAGGCGCGAAGCGUGGGGAGCAAACAGG